AAAAAGGCAAACCUUGGAUUUCCGUGCCAACGUUUGACUGUCCGUCUUAUAUGAAUUUUUUUUAUAAUUAGUAUUUUCAUUGUUGUUAGAUGAUAAAACAUGAUUAAUACUUUAUGCGUGACUUAUCUUUUUAAUUUUUUUCAUAAUUUUUUCAAAUAAGACGGACGGUUAAACGUUAGACACGGAAACCAGGGUUUAUCUUUUU
rnacentral:pre_miRNA from 1 species